UUAAAAUUUUUAAUUUUUGUGGAUGAUAUAAAUUUAUGGUUGUACUAUAACAAGUAUUGUACAUAAGAAAAUAUCCUUAUUUAUUAUGUUUUAUUUUAUUUUUUUGCUAAAAAUUACUCCCUCCGUCCCACGAAUCUUGACACGUUUGGAUUCGGCACGGGAAUUAAGGAGUUGUAGAUUAGUGUUUUAAGUGUGUAGUUAAUAAAAUAUAAAAGUGAUAAA
rnacentral:lncRNA from 1 species